AAUAUCAUCGAUGCUGUAAUUUUCUACAGUUAUUGAUGUUAAAAUAAGGAUGAAGUUGGUCAGAUGUCUGGUGGUUCUGUCAUUCCUACAUCUUUAUGCAUGUGACUUUCUGAAAGUAAACAAGGUAUUGUCAUCAGAAGUUGGCAGGAUAAAAUGUGAAAUUCUAGGAAUGGAAUUAGCCAUGAUGUCAACCAGACAUGAAUAUGAAGCUGUUAAAUCUCUGUAUGAUGUUCACAAUCCAGAUAAAGUAUUGAUAGGUCUACGAUGGAACUCAACUGUACAGAGUUAUCAGUGGUAUAAUGGUAAUGUACUGGGUAAUGUCAACUGGGCGUCUGGUGAACCACGACUUCAAUCGUGUGUAGCAGUACAGCCAGAUGGUAAUUGGUAUACACGACCAUGUUCGACCAAAAUGGCGUAUGUGUGUAGGACAGAUUCAGGUAUUAUCCAUGGUAACCAGAAUGUAGAUUUCUAUACAGCUCAUCAACGUUGUACUGGUAUUGAUGGUAUAUUACCUGUUAUAAUCUCUGGACAAGAUGACAAGUAUUAUAAUGAUCUUUCAAUGUCUAAUGAAGUAUGGAUAGGGUUGUAUAAAAAUGGCAAGACAUUUAAAUGGUUGACUGGUGAAGAAUUAUCUCCAUCUUUUACAUGGAUGGAUAAAAACAAACAUCUGGGUGAGGCUCAUAUCGAGGGGCCAUUUAACAAGAUCCACGUGGAAGUAAAAGAUCACUCUGUACUUUGUCAAUCGAGGAGCA